CCACCACCAAAGCAUUCUCUGGUGUUGAAGGCCCUGCAAAGCAGCAUCGCGGUGGCGGAGCGUCGUUUGCGACGCCCAACACACAAAACAAGCGGUGAGUGCUUUGGGGUGGGGUGACUGCGUACCUUUUGUAUAAUGGGUCAGCGACUUAUAUUCUGUAGCAAGGUUAACCGUAUAGGGGAGCCGGAGGGAAACCGAGUCUUAACCGGGCGUUAAGUUGCAGGGUAUAGACCCGAAACCCGGUGAUCUAGCCAUGGGCAGGUUGAAGGUUGGGUAACACUAACUGGAGGACCGAACCGACUAAUGUUGAAAAAUUAGCGGAUGACCUGUGGCUGGGGGUGAAAGGCCAAUCAAACCGGGAGAUAGCUGGUUCUCCCCGAAAGCUAUUUAGGUAGCGCCUCGUGAAUUCAUCUCCGGGGGUAGAGCACUGUUUCGGCUAGGGGGCCAUCCCG
rnacentral:rRNA from 1 species